UAUAGGUCAGUCACAGUACCACACAACACUCAUCCUACUACAGGUCAGUCACAGUACCACAUGACACUCAUCCUACGACAGGUCAGUCAGUCACAGUACCACACUACACUCAUCCUUCUACAGGUCAGUCACAGUACCACAUGGCACUCGUCCUUCUACAGGUCAGUCACAGUAACACACACCACUCAUCCUUCUACACGUCAGUCACAGUACCACACACCACUCAACCUACUACAGGUCAGUCACAGUACCACACGACACUCAUCCUACUACAGGUCAGUCACAGUACUACAUGACACUCCUCCUACUACAGGUCAGUCACAGUACCACACAACACUCAUCCUACUACAGGUCAGUCACAGUACCACAUGACACUCAUCCUAUGACAGGUCAGUCAUUCGCAGUAACACACGACACUCAUCCUACUACAGGUCAGUCAGUCACAGUACCACACUACACUCAUCCUACUACAGGUCAGUCACAGUACUACAUGACACUCAUCCUACUACAGGUCAGUCACAGUACCACACAACACUCAUCCUACUACAGGUCAGUCACAGUACCACAUGACACUCAUCCUACCUCAGGUCAGUCACAGUACCACACGACACUCAUCCUACUGCAAGUCAUUCACAGUCCCACACAACACUCAUCCUACUACAGGUCAGUCUGUCACAGUACCACACUACACUCAUCCUUCUACAGGUCAGUCACAGUACCACAUGGCACUCAUCCUUCUACAGGUCAGUCACAGUACCAUACGAAACUCAUCCUACUACAGGUCAGUCACAGUACCACACGACACUCAUCCUUCUACACGUCAGUCACAGUACCACACACCACUCAACCUUCUACACGUCAGUCAGUCACAGUAACACAUGACACUCAUCCUUCUACAGGUCAGUCAGUAACAGUACCACACGACACUCAUCCCACUACAGGUCAGUCAGUCACAGUACCACAUGACAUUCAUCCUACCUCAGGUCAGUCACAGUACCACACGACACUCAUCCUACUACAGGCCAGUCAGUCACAGUACCACAUGACACUCAUCCUACGACAGGUCAUUCACAGUACCACAUGACAUUCAUCCUACCUCAGGUCAGUCACAGUACCACACGACACUCAUCCUACUGCAAGUCAUUCACAGUCCCACACAACACUCAUCCUACUACAGGUCAGUCUGUCACAGUACCACACUACACUCAUCCUUCUACAGGUCAGUCACAGUACCACAUUGCACUCAUCCUUCUACAGGUCAGUCACAGUAACACACACCACUCAUCCUUCUACACGUCAGUCACAGUACCACACACCACUCAUCCUUCUACACGUCAGUCACAGUACCACACACCACUCAACCAUCUACACGUCAGUCAGUCACAGUACCACACGACACUCAUCCUACUACAGGUCAGUCAGUCACAGUACCACAUGACACUCAUCCUACGACAUGUCAUUCACAGUACCACAUGACACUCAUCCUACUACAGGUCAGUCACAGUACCACACAACACUCAUCCUACUACAGGUCAGUAACAGUACCACACGACACUCAUCCCACUACAGGUCAGUCAGUCACAGUACCACAUGACACUCAUCCUACGACAGGUCAUUCACAGUACCACAUGACAUUCAUCCUACCUCAGGUCAGUCACAGUACCACACGACACUCAUCCUACUGCAAGUCAUUCACAGUCCCACACAACACUCAUCCUACUACAGGUCAGUCUGUCACAGUACCACACUACACUCAUCCUUCUACAGGUCAGUCACAGUACCACAUUGCACUCAUCCUUCUACAGGUCAGUCACAGUAACACACACCACUCAUCCUUCUACACGUCAGUCACAGUACCACACACCACUCAACCUACUACAGGUCAGUCACAGUACCACACGACACUCAUCCUACUACAGGUCAGUCACAGUACUACAUGACACUCCUCCUACUACAGGUCAGUCACAGUACCACACAACACUCAUCCUACUACAGGUCAGUCACAGUACCACAUGACACUCAUCCUAUGACAGGUCAGUCAUUCGCAGUAACACACGACACUCAUCCUACUACAGGUCAGUCAGUCACAGUACCACACGACACUCAUCCUACUUACAGGUCAGUCGCAGUACCACACAACACUCAUCCUACUACAGGUGAGUCACAUCACUACAUGACACUCAUCCUACUACAGUUCAGUCAUUCAUAGUCCCACACGACACUCAUACUACUACAGGUCAUUCACAGUACCAAACGACACUCAUCCUACUACAGGUCAGUCACAGUACUACGUGACACUCGUCCUACUACAGGUCAGUGACAGUACCACAUGACACUCAUCCUACUACAGGUCAGUCAGUCACAGUACCACACGACACUCAUCUUACGACAGGUCAGUCAUUCACAGUACCACACGACACUCAUCCUACUCCAGGUCAGUCACAGUACCACACGACACUCAUCCUACUCCAGGUCAGUCACAGUACCACACAACACUCAUCCUUCUACUGGUCAGUCAAGUCACAGUACCACACAACACUCAUCCUACUCCAGGUCAGUCACAGUACCACACAACACUCAUCCUACUACAGGUCAGUCAGUCACAGUACCACACGACACUCAUCCUAAUACAGGUCAUUCACAGUACCACACGACACCAGUCCUUCUACAUGUCAGUCAGUCACAUUACUACAUGACACUCCUCCUAAUACAGGUCAGUCAGUCACAGUACCACACGGCACUCAUCCUACUACAGGUCAUUCACAAUACCACAUGACACUCAUCCUACUACAGGUCAUUCGCAGUAACACACGACUCUCAUCCUACUACAGGUCAUUCCCAGUACGACAUGAUACUCAUCCUACUACAGGUCAGUCAGUCACAGUACCACACUACACUCAUCCUACUACAGGUCAGGCACAGUACCACAUGACACUCAUCCUACUACAGGUCAGGCACAGUACCA